AGCAGCCGCGGUAAUUCCAGCUCCAAUAGCGUAUAUUAAAGUUGCUGCAGUUAAAAAGCUCGUAGUUGAAUUUCGGGACCAUCAUGUCGGUCGUGCCUCGGUACGUACUGGCAUUGUUGGUUUCUACCUUCUGACGAACCAUGAUGUCAUUUAUUUGGUGUCGUGGGAAAUCAGGACUGUUACUUUGAAAAAAUUAGAGUGUUUAAAGCAGGCUCACGCUUGAAUACAUUAGCAUGGAAUAAUGAAAUAGGACGUUUGAUUCUAUUUUGUUGGUUUCUAGGAUCGACGUAAUGAUUAAUAGGGAUAGUUGGGGGCAUUAGUAUUCAAUUGUCAGAGGUGAAAUUCUUGGAUUUAUUGAAGACUAACUACUGCGAAAGCAUUUGCCAAGGAUGUUUUCAUUAAUCAAGAACGAAAGUUAGGGGAUCGAAGACGAUCAGAUACCGUCGUAGUCUUAACCAUAAACUAUGCCGACUAGGGAUCGGAUGAUGUUAAUUUUUUAANGACUCAUUCGGCGCCUUAC
rnacentral:misc_RNA from 1 species